GUGGGCGUGCCGGAGUGGUUAUCGGGCAUGACUAAAAAUCAUGUGGGCUUUGCCCGUGUAGGUUUGAAUCCUGCCGCUCACG
rfam:Ipomoea nil DNA, scaffold: scaffold2283, cultivar: Tokyo-kokei standard.